AGGGGUGUAGCUCAGUGGUAGAACACUCACCUAGCAUGUGUAGGACCCUGGGUUCAAUCCCCAGCACUACCA
rfam:Ictidomys tridecemlineatus contig097893, whole genome shotgun sequence.